GAUGAAGAACGUAGCGAAAUGCGAUAAGUAGUGUGAAUUGCAGAAUUCAGUGAAUCAUCGAAUCUUUGAACGCACAUUGCGCCCCAUGGUAUUCCGUGGGGCAUGCCUGUUCGAGCGUCAUUUACCCCCUCAAGCUCCGCUUGGUGUUGGGCGUCUGUCCCGCUUCGCGCGCGGACUCGCCCGAAAGGUAUUGGCAGCGGUCGUGCCAGCUUCUCGCGCAGCACAUUGCGCUUCUCGAGGCACCGGUGGGCCCGCGUCCAUCAAGCUCACCCCCCCAGUUUGACCUCGGAUCAGGUAGGGAUACCCGCUGAACUUAAGCAUAUCAAUAAGCGGAGGA
rnacentral:misc_RNA from 1 species